rnacentral:rRNA from 1 species
AUACGGGGGGGGCAAGCGUUAUUCGGAAUUAUUGGGCGUAAAGCGCACGUAGGCGGCUUGACAAGUCAAACGGUGAAAUCCCUCGGCUCAACCGAGGAACUGCCUUUGAAACUGUUUAGCUUGAGGCCGGGAGGGGGUAGCGGAAUUCCCAGUGUAGCGGUGAAAUGCGUAGAUAUUGGGAGGAACACCGGUGGCGAAGGCGGCUACCUGGACCGGUUCUGACGCUGAGGUGCGAAAGCGUGGGUAGCAAACAGGAUUAGAAACCCCGGUAGUCC